GCUGGGCAUGGUGGCGUGUGCCUGUAAUCCCAGCUACUCGGGAGGCUGAGGCAGGAGAGUUGCUUGAACCCGGGAGGCAGAGGUUGCAGUGAGCCAAGAUGGCGCCACUGCACUCCAGCCUGGGUGACAGAGCGAGACUCCGUCUCAU
rnacentral:SRP_RNA from 1 species